GGUCUCGUAGCUCAGUGGUCUUAGAGCCUCGUGCUUAUAGAACGCGAUCGUCGGGGGUUCGAUCCCCCCCGGGACCA